rnacentral:rRNA from 1 species
GACGAACGCUGGCGGCGUGCUUAACACAUGCAAGUCGAACGGAAAGGCCCUGCUUUUGUGGGGUGCUCGAGUGGCGAACGGGUGAGUAACACGUGAGUAACCUGCCCUUGACUUUGGGAUAACUUCAGGAAACUGGGGCUAAUACCGGAUAGGAGCUCCUGCUGCAUGGUGGGGGUUGGAAAGUUUCGGCGGUUGGGGAUGGACUCGCGGCUUAUCAGCUUGUUGGUGGGGUAGUGGCUUACCAAGGCUUUGACGGGUAGCCGGCCUGAGAGGGUGACCGGCCACAUUGGGACUGAGAUACGGCCCAGACUCCUACGGGAGGCAGCAGUGGGGAAUAUUGCACAAUGGGCGGAAGCCUGAUGCAGCAACGCCGCGUGCGGGAUGACGGCCUUCGGGUUGUAAACCGCUUUCGCCUGUGACGAAGCGUGAGUGACGGUAAUGGAUAAAGAAGCACCGGCUAACUACGUG